GAUGAACGCUGGCGGCGUGCCUAAUACAUGCAAGUCGAGCGAACAGACGAGGAGCUUGCUCCUCUGACGUUAGCGGCGGACGGGUGAGUAACACGUGGAUAACCUACCUAUAAGACUGGGAUAACUUCGGGAAACCGGAGCUAAUACCGGAUAAUAUAUUGAACCGCAUGGAUCAAUAGUGAAAGACGGUUUUGCUGUCACUUAUAGAUGGAUCCGCGCCGCAUUAGCUAGUUGGUAAGGUAACGGCUUACCAAGGCAACGAUGCGUAGCCGACCUGAGAGGGUGAUCGGCCACACUGGAACUUGGACACGGUCCAGACUCCUACGGGAGGCAGCAGUAGGGAAUCUUCCGCAAUGGGCGAAAGCCUGACGGAGCAACGCCGCGUGAGUGAUGAAGGUCUUCGGAUCGUAAAACUCUGUUAUUAGGGAAGAACAAAUGUGUAAGUAACUAUGCACGUCUUGACGGUACCUAAUCAGAAAGCCACGGCUAACUACGUG
rnacentral:rRNA from 1 species